AGGAAGCUAGUGGAAGACCUGCACCACCAAAAUCAAGGAGUAAAUCAAGAGAGCUGACAACAUGGGCAUAACCGCAAGAAGCUCAGAGUUCUGGUCACCCAUGGUCAACUGAAGUUCGAAGUUCAGAAGCAGAUGACCCUUUUGAAGAAUCUGCAGAAGGUCGAACGUAGCCUAGCCCUCUGUCAUGGUGCCUGUGUCGUUCACCUCACUUCAGCUCAUCAUGGAGGCAUUUCAUCAUCUCCCUGAUCACAGAAAGAAAGGUUUAAUCGCUAUUCCAGUGACUUCUACAUUAAUGAGGGGAGCAAGAUGAAGGAUCCCUUACCAGGUGGAGAAAGAGGCUUUCUUAGUAGUGAAAGGAAAACUUCCAGUGAAAGAAGACACUGACGAUCAAAUGACACAUAAGAGCAGUUGCAGAGUUUUGCAGACGGGGGCCUGCAUAAAUUCAAGGCACUUCUGUGGUGAGUUAAGCAUAGAGAAGAGGACAAACGUUCCUCCAAACCAGGAUGCACACCAGAGAUGGCCCAGAGGCUGUGGAUGUCGCUGUAAUCCUUCCCCUCCAUCCUUGGAGCUGGUGCCUCUGCCUUCCCCUAGGAGAACGAUGAUCCAGUGUGUGCUUCUUUCUCUCUGCUGGUAGGAACUCCACUUCCCAGGGCUUGAAAACUGGCUCUGUCUUCUACCAUUGCUGCUGGGGAGACAGGCCUCUCCACUCUUCCCACCCUAUCCCAUCCUUCAUACCAAAUGGAAAAGGAUUGGCACCUUGGAGCA